GACGAACGCUGGCGGCGUGCUUAACACAUGCAAGUCGAACGGGCCUGUCUUCUUUUUUGGGGGUGGGUUGAAUGGCGAACGGGUGAGUAUCACGUGAGUAACCUGCCCUUCGGUCCUGGAUAACCGCUUGAAAGGGCGGCUAAUACGGGGUGGUCCGGUUGGUCCGCAUGGGCUGGUCGGGAUAGAUUCACUGUUUUUGGUGUUUCGGCGGGGGAUGGGCUCGCGGCCUAUCAGCUUGUUGGUGGGGUGAUGGCCUACCAAGGCGGUGACGGGUAGCCGGCCUGAGAGGGUGGGCGGCCACACUGGGACUGAGAUACGGCCCAGACUCCUGCGGGAGGCAGCAGUGGGGGGGAUUGCACAAUGGGCGGAAGCCUGAUGCAGCGACGUCGCGUGAGGGAUGGAGGCCUUCGGGUUGUGAACCUCUGUUUCCGGUGGUGAAGGCCCUGUCCGUGUGGUGGGGUUGACGGUAGCCGGGGAUGAAGCGCCGGCUAACUACGUG
rnacentral:rRNA from 1 species